rnacentral:rRNA from 1 species
AUUGAACGCUGGCGGCAGGCUUAACACAUGCAAGUCGAGCGGAGUGAUGGUGCUUGCACUAUCACUUAGCGGCGGACGGGUGAGUAAUGCUUAGGAAUCUGCCAUUUAGUGGGGGACAACAUUCCGAAAGGAAUGCUAAUACCGCAUACGUCCUACGGGAGAAAGCAGGGGAUCUUCGGACCUUGCGCUAAAUGAUGAGCCUAAGUCGGAUUAGCUAGUUGGUGGGGUAAAGGCCUACCAAGGCGACGAUCUGUAGCGGGUCUGAGAGGAUGAUCCGCCACACUGGGACUGAGACACGGCCCAGACUCCGACGGGAGGCAGCAAUGGGGAAUAUUGGACAAUGGGCGGAAGCCUGAUCCAGCCAUGCCGCGUGUGUGAAGAAGGCCUUUUGGUUGUAAAGCACUUUAAGCGAGGAGGAGGCUACUAGUACUAAUACUACUGGAUAGUGGACGUUACUCGCAGAAUAAGCACCGGCUAACUCUGUGCCAGCCGCCGCCGUAACAC